CAGUAGCCACGGUAAUACGUAGGUGGCAAGCGUUGUCCGGAAUUAUUGGGUGUAAAGCGCGCGCAGGCGGAUAGGUCAGUCUGUCUUAAAAGUUCGGGGCUUAACCCCGUGAUGGGAUGGAAACUGCCAAUCUAGAGUAUCGGAGAGGAAAGUGGAAUUCCUAGUGUAGCGGUGAAAUGCGUAGAUAUUAGGAAGAACACCAGUGGCGAAGGCGACUUUCUGGACGAAAACUGACGCUGAGGCGCGAAAGCCAGGGGAGCGAACGGGAUUAGAUACCCCCGUAGUCCCUGUCUCUUAUACC
rnacentral:rRNA from 1 species